rnacentral:rRNA from 1 species
CUGUGCCUACGGGGGGCAGCAGUGGGGAAUAUUGGGCAAUGGGCGCAAGCCUGACCCAGCAAUGCCGCGUGAAGGAAGAAGGCCCUCGGGUUGUAAACUUCUUUUAUCAGGGACGAAGGAUGUGACGGUACCUGAUGAAUAAGCUCCGGCUAACUACGUACCAGCAGCCGCGGUAAUACGUAGGGAGCAAGCGUUAUCCGGAUUUACUGGGUGUAAAGGGCGCGUAGGCGGGAUGGCAAGUCAGAUGUGAAAUCCGGGGGCCCAACCCCCGGACUGCUUUGGAAACUGUAUGGCUGGAGUGCAGG